rnacentral:lncRNA from 1 species
UCACCAUCUCAGACCCUUUCACCAAAAAACGUAGCGCCGCCGUCUCCCUACGGUUUACCGCUGGCCGGAAAUCACCUAAGCCGUCGGCGAUUGUCCAUAUGCUCCCAAAAAUACACCACAGCAUCUCCUCCUCAUUCUAAAUCUGACCACCGUUCCCUUCAAAUCCCACCUUAACUUGUCGAAUAAUCAAAACAGUGGUCAUCGUCUUCGCGUGUCCGGCGGCGCUGCCUCCAAACCUCAUCAAAAUAACACCUCAGACUCUCCUCACAUCCCUCUUCCCAAAUCCCUGAUUAGUUUUCUUCAAAUCUCGCCCGAAAUUCUCGAAUUUCAAAUCAAAGAAGGGCAGUACCCUAGAAUGUCGAAGUUGUUUGAACUCUUCCCAAUUUCUUGAGUCCAGAGUUUGAUUCGAGUCACGAACUAAUGUCUUUGUUUAUUCUUGGUGAAGAACAAACGUUUAACAUCAUUCAGAGGCUCGAAUCAGAGUCCAGCCUUUUCCAACCUUGCAUAGGUGAGUCUUUCAUAAAUUGUAGAUGAUAUCACUAUAAUUAAUCUACAAAAUUAAGACUACUACACUAUAAUUUAACAACCAAUUAAAACAUAAAUUUUUACUCCUAAUAACUACAUUUAUAAGCUGUAGAUAAUAUCAACUACAAUUUAUACACAUAAUUAACACACCUAAUAAAACCACUAGCAAUUAUAAAAGGAUGGCAAAGAAGACGAAUUAUGAAUGAAGAUAAACUAAUAGAGUUCCACUGAAUAUUGGUUUUGCGCCUCAUAGGACUCAAAAAUAUAUUCUCCUAUCUCAACUUCAACUGCACAUGUACUUCUGGAAUUUCAUAUCACUUUUCUUACCAAGAUAUAGCUAUUUUCAACUAUUUUCAUCACUUCUCGUCAACUUCAAGCAUCACAUUCAACAACUUCAAUUUGAAAUCUGCUUGCAAUUAAAUACGUAGAUCAUGGCUAUCGUGAAAUUAAGAGGACAGUGAAAACAAACAUAAACAGGAACUACAAGAUGAGGAGAAAGAGCAAUGCCAUGUUUGCAAACUGAAUUUGAGAUUGAAAGAGUAAUGCCGUG